rnacentral:lncRNA from 1 species
GUACUACAGAGUUUCCUUUCAUCCCUAGCAACUGAUGGGUGACAAAGGGAAUCUUGAACCUCUGCCCCACAAAGACGAACAAAGCUGACUCAAGGCACCUGUGUUCAGGAAUCUGACUAAGCUAGAAAGGGCAAAGUGACCCAUGAUGGGUCUUUCUUCUUCCCUUGUGGCCACUGGCAGCUUCUGAGAUAUACAGACCAGAUGAUUAAGAAAACUUGCCAAAAAUGGAGACAGAAGCAGGAGUUAAAAGGAAAGGUCUCAGCCUGCUACGAACCCCAUCCUCUGCUCCUCAACAAUGAUCCUCCAGUCCCCACAUCCCAGUAUCAGCCUACACCGAACCCUGUUCUCUGCUUACCCACAACUCUAAGCUGAUCCUUUGGACAGGAGCCUAGCAUGGCUGUCCUUUGAGAGUUUCCACCUAGCAGUUGACUCAGAUGCAGAAAUCCACAGCCAAAGAUUGGAUGGAGCUUGGAACUCUUUAUGGAAGAGUUGGAGGAAGGAUUGAGGGCCCAGAAGGGGAUAGGAACUCCACAAGAAGACCAACAGAGUCAACUAACCUGGACCCUUGGGAGCUCUCAGAGACUGGACCACCAACAAAAGAGCAUACAGCGGCUGGAUCUAACUGCCCCCUUUUGCCUGUACAAUGGACAGCUCUCAACCCACCCCUACCUGCCCUUGGGGGGUUGUGGGUGAGUUGGUGCAGAGUCAAGGACAAGGACAGACCCCUGGUAACAG